rnacentral:rRNA from 1 species
GAUAACGCUGGCGGCGUGCAUGAGACAUGCAAGUCGAACGAACAACCCGGCUUGCCGGGCGUUAGUGGCGAACGGCUGAGUAACGCGUAGGUGACCUGCCCGGAAGUGGGGAAUAACUGCCCGAAAGGGUGGCUAAUACCGCAUGUGGUCACACGUCCAUUCGUGUGAUCAAAGCCGCAAGGCGCUUUCGGAGGGGCCUGCGUUCGAUUAGCUCGUUGGUGAGGUAACGGCUCACCAAGGCGACGAUCGAUAGGUGGUCUGAGAGGAUGAUCACCCAGACUGGGACUGAGACACGGCCCAGACUCCUACGGGUGGCUG